UUUUCUGGUUUGCUGCUGGUAGUUCAGGUGGAAACAUUGCCUGGUUGAAAGACUGUAUGAAACUUCUUGCAGAAAAGUACCAUGUGCUCUCCAGGAGAACCAUAAGGCAAAGUUAGCAAGGAUAGAUUCAUUACAACGCAUACAGAAAAUUCAGGAACCUACAGAAUGGGUAUCUCGUUGAACCCUGAAUAUGCAUCACUGACGCCAACAAGGGGAACAUCAGCUGACCAACGGUCAGUGCCAACACAGUAAAAGGACACUUGGAGGGACUGGACGUGUUCAAAUCACCGGGACCAGAGGGACUCCACCCAUGGGUAAUGAAGUUAUGCAGCGGUCACUCCAUUGAUUGAAGAUUUCCAUCAGAAUAACUGACAGUAGAGUCUGUUCCUAGCUUCUUAGGAAAGAUGCACUUCCAAACAUCAUGUAGUGUCAAAAUGCAGGAAAUGCUGACCAUUCUCUUGCCAUCUCACUCUUUUGAGUUGUCAACAGAGAGGGCUGCCAUACUAUACUCGUAAACCUCACAGGAAUGGUAAUACUUGUGUAGCCCAUCAAGGUCAUGCCUGUACAAUAAACUGGUUAA